rnacentral:rRNA from 1 species
GAUCCUGGCUCAGGAUGAACGCUGGCGGCGCGCCUAACACAUGCAAGUCGAACGGCACCCCUCUCCGGAGGGAAGCGAGUGGCGAACGGCUGAGUAACACGUGGAGAACCUGCCCCCUCCCCCGGGGAUAGCCGGCCGAAAGGACGGGUAAUACCGGGAUACCCCGGGGUGCCGCAUGGCACCCCGGCUAAAGCCCCGACGGGAGGGGAUGGCUCCGCGGCCCAUCAGGUAGACGGCGGGGUGACGGCCCACCGUGCCGACAACGGGUAGCCGGGUUGAGACG